rnacentral:misc_RNA from 1 species
ACCAUCUCUCUUGCCUUCCCUACCGGCAUCACCUCCUUCACGUGCCAGACCCUCCCCAUUCAGCGCGCCGUCGUCACAUAGGGAUCUCUUACUCCUCUCGAGCUUCUUGAUGACAGCUGCGCUGCCGCUUGUUACCCGCCGUCACCACCACCACCACACUUUUCAUCGUCUCUUGCCUUCUUCGCCAUGUCGACCGACCUCGAGUGCGGGUCUGAGGCGCUGGGCCGUUACACGUGCAAGGAUGCCCCACGCCCAAGUGUGUGCUGCACCAACGGCUGCUGCGCCACCUCUCCUUACGACCUGGACAUGUACGCGGGGCUGCCGCUGUGGCUGCGCAUUGUCGUGGCAAUCUUGGCUGGUUUCGCAAUGGUGCUCAUUUUCGCUUUUUGCCUCUAUCGCGAUCGCCGCGCCCUGCGUGCGUACACACUACUCAAGCAAGAGGAGGCGGAAGAGCGACGACGGCAGCGGCGAUCGGAAGAGCUUCACGAGGUGCAUCCGAUCGGGCCGCAGAACAGCGGGGGUGAAACCUUGCAUAUACCCGAUACACAGAGUCGCCCAUCUCUCCGCCUCGCCGGAUAAGCAAAGGUAUCGAGUGCGAUGAUGACGUGCUCAUAGACGAUCUUGCAUGGCGCACGUGCAUCUGUGUGUGUGUGUGUAUCCGUCUCUCUCUCUGCUAUUCUUCUGCUUCCUCACGCAUCGCUAAUCCUGCCCCCUCCCCUCAGGCCAUACAGCCUUCCAGACAUACAUGUAUAUAUGUCUGCUCUCCCUCUGUGUGUGUAUAUGUGUGGAAUGAGCCAUCGCCUCGUCAGUCGUCUGUCCUUCCUUCCCUCCAAGGCUCUGCUUCCUCGUUCAUGCACGGUGUUGUCGUGGUGCCUUCUACGUACGCAUCUCCCACGCUCUCUCUCCUCUCCGCAUUCACUCUUCCCACCUCCACUAG